rnacentral:rRNA from 1 species
UGAAUACGAGACGCUAAGGCGUCGAAGUAGUGUAUGUCAUACUUCCAAGAAAAGCUUGCACUGUCAUAGAUAAAAAACGCCUGUACCAUAACCGACACAGGUGGGUAGGUAGAGUAUACUAAGGGGCGCGAGAUAACUCUCUCUAAGGAACUCGGCAAAAUAACUCCGUAACUUCGGGAGAAGGAGUGCCUUAUUCGUAAGGUUGCAAUAACAAGAUCCAAGCAACUGUUUAUCAAAAACACAGGUCUCCGCUAAGUCGUAAGACGAUGUAUGGGGGCUGACGCCUGCCCAGUGCCAGAAGGUUAAAGAAGUUGGUUAGCAAUUGCGAAGCUGAUAACUGAAGCCCUGGUGAACGGCGGCCGUAACAAUAACGGUCCUAAGGUAGCGAAAUUCCUUGUCGGGUAAGUUCCGACCCGCACGAAAGGCGUAAUGAUUUGGAUACUGUCUCGGAGAGGGGCUCGGUGAAAUAGACUUGUCUGUGAAGAUGCGGACUACCUGCACCAGGACAGAAAGACCCUAUGAAGCUUUACUGUAACUUGAAAUUGAAAUUGGACUUUAUUCGCGCAGUAUAGGUGGGAGGCGUUGAUUAUAAUCUUGUGGGAUUAUUGGAGCCAUCAGUGAGAUACCACUCUUGUAAUGUUAGAUUUCUAACUUUGAAUCAUUAUCUGGUCAAAGAACAGUUUCAGGCGGGCAGUUUGACUGGGGCGGUCGCCUCCUAAACGGUAACGGAGGCGUACAAAGGUUUCCUCUGAACGGUUAGAAAUCGUAUCUAGAGUGUAAAGGCAUAAGGAAGCUUGACUGUGAGACCUACAAGUCGAGCAGGGACGAAAGUCGGUCUUAGUGAUCUGACGGUACUGAGUGGAAAGGCCGUCACUCAACGGAUAAAAGUUACUCUAGGAUAACAGGCUGAUCUCCCCCAAGAGUUCACAUCGACGGGGAGGUUUGGCACCUCGAUGUCGGCUCAUCGCAUCCUGGGGCGGUAGUACGUCCCAAGGGUUGGGCUGUUCGCCCAUGAAAGCGGUACGCGAGCUGGGUUCAGAACGUCGUGAGACAGUUCGGUCCAUAUCCGGUGUAGGCGUUAGAAUAUUGAGAGGAGCCUUCUUUAGUACGAGAGGACCGAGAAGGACAUACCUCUGGUGUACCAGUUAUCGUGCCAACGGUAAACGCUGGGUAGCUAUGUAUGGAGUGGAUAACCGCUGAAAGCAUCUAAGUGGGAAGCCCACCUCAAGAUAAGUA